rnacentral:rRNA from 1 species
UGGGGAAUAUUGGACAAUGGGGGCAACCCUGAUCCAGCAAUGCCGCGUGUGUGAAGAAGGUCUUCGGAUUGUAAAGCACUUUCGACGGGGACGAUGAUGACGGUACCCGUAAAAGAAGCCCCGGCUAACUUCGUGCCAGCAGCCGCGGUAAUACGAAGGGGGCUAGCGUUGCUCGGAAUGACUGGGCGUAAAGGGCGUGUAGGCGGUUUACACAGUCAGAUGUGAAAUCCCCGGGCUUAACCUGGGAGCUGCAUUUGAUACGUGUAGACUAGAGUGUGAGAGAGGGUUGUGGAAUUCCCAGUGUAGAGGUGAAAUUCGUAGAUAUUGGGAAGAACACCGGUGGCGAAGGCGGCAACCUGGCUCAUGACUGACGCUGAGGCGCGAAAAGCGUGGGGAGCAAACAGGAUUAGAUACCCUGGUAGUCCACGCUGUAAACGAUGUGUGCUAGAUGUUGGGUAACUUUGUUAUUCAGUGUCGCAGUUAACGCGUUAAAGCACACCGCCUGG